rnacentral:tRNA from 1 species
GUUGUCGUGGCCGAGUGGGUAAGGCGAUAAAAUUGAAUUCUUUUGGGAUUUUCCCGCCGCAGGUUCGAUUCUGCCGACAUCG